rnacentral:rRNA from 1 species
GACGAGGGGUCCUAGCGUUGUUCGGAAUCACUGGGCGUAAAGCGUAUGUAGGCGGCCCUGUAAGUCAGAUGUGAAAUCCCAUGGCUUAACCAUGGAACUGCAUUUGAAACUGCAAGGCUUGAGUGUCAGAGAGGAUGGUAGAAUUCCUAGUGUAGUGGUGAAAUACGUAGAUAUUAGGAGGAACUCCGGUGGCGAAGGCGGCCAUCUGGCUGAACACUGACGCUGAGAUACGAAAGCGUGGGGAUCAAACAGG